GCCUUAAUAGCUCAGUGGUAGAGCGUUCCACUCGUAUCGUCGCUCCCGUGAGCCUUACACUCGCGACGUGGCAUGUGUCUUAUGGAAAGGUCUGGUGUUCAAUCCACCAUUGAGGCA
rfam:Puccinia sorghi strain RO10H11247 Scaffold_487, whole genome shotgun sequence.